rnacentral:rRNA from 1 species
AUUGAACGCUGGCGGCAUGGCUAAAACAUGCAAGUCGAACGAGCCCGCAAGGGCAAGUGGCGAAAGGGUUAGUAAUACGAUCGAAUGUACCCUGAGGUGGCGGAUAGUCGUGGGAAACUGCGGGUAAUACGUCAUGAUCUCUCCGGAGCAAAGAUUUAUCGCCUUGGGAGCAGCGAUCGUCCUAUCAGGUAGUUGGCGGGGUAAUGGCCCACCAAGCCGAAGACGGGUAGCGGGUGUGAGAGCACGGCCCGCAACAUCGGAACUGAGACACUGUCCGGACUCCUACGGGAGGCUGCAGUAACGAAUCUUCCGCAAUGGGCGAAAGCCUGACGGAGCAAUGCCGCGUGUGGGAUGAAGCGCCUUCGGCGUGUAAACCACUGUCAGGGAACGGAACCAAUGAUUGUUCCCAAACGGAAGUGGCGACUAACUCUGUGCCAGCAGCCGCGG